GAAGAGGAGAGAAACAUCAAUGUGCGAUGGAAACAUCUAUCGUUUGCUUCUCGUACGCCCCCUACUGGUACCUAGCGCACAAUUCAGGCAUGUACCCUGACCCAAACAAACGGAGGACUAUUCAGUCCACAGGCUGCUGCUCAGUGCACGGAGCCACACCAGCCAGAACCGGACCAUAGCCAUUUGUGUGGGCCUCUGUGUUUCAUCCGUGGUCUGAAGCUUCUCUUUAUUGACAAUGAAUUUCUACUCAUUAAGAAGAAUCUCAGUAUGUCAUGCGUGAAAGGCACCUCAGAGAUUUGUUCACCCUCCUCAUUUUGAAGAUAAAAAACAAAAGGCAAAGGUGGUAAAAAAUAUUUAAAGUCAUUCAAUUAAGUUAAGAAAAGGGCUCCUUAGUACCACAAAGAGCAUUACCAGAAGAUAAGGACUAUUCGCAGUAAAGGGACAUCUGCUUUCCAUAAAACCUGACCAAAUGAAACACGGGGGAUGGUCACUGCUUAGUGUUUGUGAUGAAGGCACUCGAAUGAUGACAUUUCCAGAGAUAUUUCAUCCCACUGAAGAGGGGACACUGGGAAUCCUGAGAGUGAUGAGUGGUUUGAAGACUCUCAUAAAGCAGGAGAGGAGAUAAGGAUCUGUGAGCCCAAAGAAGAGGAUGCAAAAGAGUCAGGGAC